rnacentral:rRNA from 1 species
CACGUAGGGCGCGAGCGUUGUCCGGAAUUAUUGGGCGUAAAGAGCUCGUAGGCGGCCUGUUGCGUCCGCUGUGAAAGCCCGGGGCUUAACCCCGGGUCGGCAGUGGAUACGGGCAGGCUGGAGGUAGGUAGGGGAGAAUGGAAUUCCCGGUGUAGCGGUGAAAUGCGCAGAUAUCAGGAGGAACACCGGUGGCGAAGGCGGGUCUCUGGGCCGAUACUGACGCUGAGGAGCGAAAGCGUGGGGAGCGAACAGG